CCGUGCGGCACUGCACCAGCUGCGGGGUCCUGCACAGGGACAUCAAGCCUCAGAACAUCGUGCUUGACCUGGCCAGCGGGCAGCUGAAACUGAUCGACUUUGGCUGUGGCGCUUUCCUCCAAGACACAGCCUACACCCAGUUUGCAGGUGAGCCCUCGCAGGGGAUGCUCCUGGGCAUCUCAUGGCCCAGCCUGGGUGUAGCACCGGGGCUUCCCCCUACUGCAGCUGGGAUGGGAUUAAUGCUGGACCCAAGUUCAUUUGGUUGGGGUGUGAGGGAGGCCAGCUCCCAGCCCUGCUGACAGCCUUCAGUACCCACUGUGGCCUGGGCUGGGGCUGGAGCUGGUGCAGCCAGCCCGACAAAAACCCCCAUGGGGGUAGUGGAGAGGGGGGUCUGAACCCAUGGCCUGGAUGGUUUGGUGUGCAGGGGAGGAGGGGCUUGGACUGCUCCACUCCCCUUGUUUGCCUUGGCUUAUUAACAUUUUUUGGGGGCCCAUGCAGGCAGAGAGGAGAGUGGGUUUUCUCCACCAGUGGGUGGGUUUUUCCUUUCUGUGUCAUGGUUGGGCCUUCCCAGGGUUUCUGCUGCCCUCUUCCAGCACCAGUGGCUUCUUUUCCAGCCCUGAGUUUGUACACAAGUCCCAGGUGAUGGUGAGAGGGCAGCGGUCACCCCGUGUGUUGCUAGAGCAGCCCCCACAUGCCCAGGGAUGCUGGGGCCAGGCUCUGGGAGCAGCAGCAUCCCCCUGCUGAGCUCUGUCUGUGUUCCACAGGAACCCUGGCCUACAGCCCUCCAGAGUGGACCCAGCACCAAAGCUACCAUGGCGAGGCAGCGACGAUCUGGUCCCUGGGCCUCCUGCUGUACCAGCUGGUUGUGAGGAAGCACCCGUUCAGGAGGGGCCAGGAGAUCAUCUGGGGGCGCAUCUUGUUCCCACCACGGCUCUCUCAAGAAUGCCAAGAUGUCAUUAAGAGGUGUUUGUCCAUGCAACCCUCGGACAGGCCAUCAUUAGAAGAGCUUUUCUGCCAUCCUUGGGUGCAGGGCGCUCCUCGGCCCUAGAAGAUGGGAGAGAUCCAUGUGCACAGUUGGAUCCAGGGGCCUGGCAGGUAGGAGCUCCACACAUUUCUUGGCACUCAGUGGCAAAGCAAACCAGACUGGUUUUGUCCUGCCUGUAGCUCUGAGCAGGGGUCAGCAGAAGGGAACAUGCAGCUCUUGGGCUGGAGCUGAGCUGGAGAUCUGGUGUGGCAAGCACUGGUGGCCACCAUCCCCCCUGGUUUUGCUUGUCUGGUUCAUGGAUGGCUGGGGCCCUGGGCAGAGCCCUGACAGCCUGGUCUGGUCCCAGGGAAGGAGAAGGAGCUCCUGGAGAAGCUGUACCAGGUGGGGCUGCUGCUGGAGACAGCAAGGACAACCUCAAGGACGACAAUCUCUUCCUUGGCCUGGCCAGCUGAAGAUGAUGGACUUGGAUUCUGGCAGCUUCUCUAAAGACACACUCCACACCCAAUUUGCAGCCAGGCUCUGCAGAUGCUGAGGCUGCUCUGGGCUCUGGCAGGGCUCUGCUGGAGCUCAGCACCGGGCUGGCAUCAGCCAAAGAAGAAAUGGUGUCACCUGCAGCACAGACUUGCUUGAGCAUUUUGACAACGCAGCUCAAGUUUGCAGCGUGGACACCUCCAAGGGAAAACAUGACACCUCCCAAAAAUUAAAAUUGUUCAAUACCUUUUGAA